AAUAUUGCCAACCUCGAUCAUUAUGUCAUCCUGGUGUGAUUUUGGACAAAAAAAAUAACAAAAACCUGCAUCCUUUUAGAUUGAGAGACAGUCUCUUUAUUAUGAAGUCCAUCCGAAUUUUAGUCACUCAUCUCUGUGGUUAUUUGAUGACAGUUGGCAACAAAGUUACUUGGAACAAAGCAGACGGAUGUCUUGUUCAGUCAGUUCUGUCAGUGGUUUGAACUAUCGGUACAGUCUUUUGCAUCCAAAAGACUAUGUAAAUGUGAUUUUUUUUUUGUCGAGUGGUGUCAUUUGCACUUGGGCCCAUUAAUGACUUUAUUUAACGAUUUACAUGUAUUAUUUUGGCCUUGGAAUGAUUUUACAUUGGUCAAACAAAUUUAUUUGAGUUCAUGAGCGUCGAAAUAAGGUCUCAGAGUUAUAGCUUCAGCUUUAGUUAAAGCUAAGUACUCGACCAAUAAAUAUCAUAAAUUUUAUUCACUUAUUGACACCUUGCUUAUUGACUGCAGUCCAAUUAAGUUGUUUGUAUGAAGGCCGUGAAGAUUAGAUCACGGUCUUUCAAAAUGUUCCAGGAGCUGCAGUUGCGUUUCAGACCAGCACAUUGCAAAAUUUAUAACUUCAUAGCACUCAUUUGGUAAACUAUCUCUCCAAAACGAAAUGCUCAUGUUUGUCAAGUCUUCUAUUUUGGAAAUAUGAAGAACAAACGAAUGCAAUGCCCGCUGUUUAUUUACUUCAAUGUUUAAAGUUUCACGAUAAGCUGUGUUGUUUGUGAGAAAUGGUUUCACGGGAAAUGUGUAGGGCAAUUCAAAAAUAGGAAGAAGACUGGGUCUGUCCCCUCUGUUCUGGAAGACAUGCUAGCAUAUGGGUCAAAGAAAGGCUCAGCAAAAACUCAUUUUAUGGUUUAAUGGUUAUUUGUACUUCUAGUUCUUUCAAUACUCCAAAAACAAUCAGGAAAAUUUCUCAAAUUCCGCCACUCAAGGAAGCUCAUUCUCGCUUACCAUCUCAUAGUGGAUUAGCUAACAUUACACCUACCUCAGACUCAAAAUCAAAGAAAAUUCAAAGUAAAUUGGAAGGAAGUCAUGGGGAUUGUGACCUGAAAGAUAUUCCGCCCUUUGCCUGCUUUGUCACCUGUAGAUCAAGCUUGUCCUCCUCCACUUACUCUGAUUUCUCAGAAGGGGAUCUUGGAAAUUCCUCCAGUCAUCAAUGAGCAGGAUACUUCUAGAAGUUUUAACACUCAAGAAAAGAAUCAAGAAAUUUGAAACUCUUUCACCAACAACACCUUAGCCUCUCUCAAUCCGUCCAGUUGUGAAACCUAUCCCACACUUAAACUUAAGGCCAGUUAAACUGAAAUUUGAUGGAAGUUUGGGGGAUUGUGACCGAAAAGAUGAACUUCCCUCCGCUACUCUGCCCUCCUAGGAGUCCAAUCUACAGGCCACUAAGCAAUCUUUGUCUUAGAUUCAUUCUUUUAAAAAAUCUUAUAUCUGGUAUUUUUCACAUUUCUAAAAACUUAUCAGUUUAAUGAUGGAUUUAGUCUCAGUGAAGCCAGUGAAGCUGAAGCCACCCCGUCACUUGUUUUGGGCAAUCUGAUUGGUUGAAUGACCAAGCGACCAAUCAGAUUACCCAAAACAAAUGACGGGGUGGCUUCAGCUUCACUGGCUUCACUGAGACUAAAUCCAUCAUUACCCUUACUCCUUGCCCAACAUCAAAAAUGUGCUUUUCACUUUAGAAGGGAAUUUUUUGUUGGAACUACCCACACAUUUGUGUCACUCAAUUAUUUGUCAUCCUCCUCUUUAUCCUCUUUGGUGCUGAUUAUUGUUGGUAGAUUAAGUCAGUCAUGUCUUUGUUUGGUCAAUGUGUCUGUGUAGCGGUGGAAAUAAAUGUCCAGUGUGUUAUAGUGGAAGAAA